rnacentral:sRNA from 1 species
CACACACGGAAGUCGGGUUUCGACGGUUGGGCUCCAGCUCGGUCGACGCGAUCCACCGGUGGCGGCCACAAGGCCGCUUCGUUCCGUGGAGGCUCAACCGGAAAAGGAAACAU